rnacentral:rRNA from 1 species
AUUGAACGCUGGCGGCAGGCCUAACACAUGCAAGUCGAGCGGUAGAGAGGUGCUUGCAUCUCUUGAGAGCGGCGGACGGGUGAGUAAUGCCUAGGAAUCUGCCUAGUGUGGGGGAUAACGUUCGGAAACGGACGCUAAUACCGCAUACGUCCUACGGGAGAAAGCGGGGGAUCUUCGGACCUCGCGCCAUUAGAUGAGCCUAGGUCGGAUUAGCUAGUUGGUGAGGUAAUGGCUCACCAAGGCGACGAUCCGUAACUGGUCUGAGAGGAUGAUCAGUCACACUGGAACUGAGACACGGUCCAGACUCCUACGGGAGGCAGCAGUGGGGAAUAUUGGACAAUGGGCGAAAGACCUGAUCCAGCAAUGCCGCGUGCAGGAUGAAGGCCUCGGUUGUAAC